UGUGAGCAAACGCCCAGCUCGCCCCGAGCUCGGAGUAGUGUGGGUAAACACCCAGGUUCGCCCAUUUUGUCGGGUGUUCCAUCCCCCUCAGUGAUUCCUUCUUCCGGCACAGCGCUUCAGAAGGUCGCCAGCACUGAGAGGCCAUGCGGUUGUUUCAUGGAAUGGCAGAAUGGUCAGGCUGGGAGAGAGCAGAGUGGGGUCACCUGGUCCAACAUCCCUGCUCAAGCAGGGCCAUCCCAGAGCACAUGGCGCAGGAUUGUGUCCAGGCAGUUCUUGAAUAUCUCUAGUGAGGGAGACUCCACACCCUCUCAGGGCAAGCUGUUCCAGUGCAUAGUUACCUGCACAGUGAAGAUGUUCUUCCUUACAUGCCAAUGGAGCUUCCUGUGCAUCACUUUCUGGCUGUUGCCUCUUGCCCUAUUGCUGGGCACCACCAAUAAGAGCCUGGCUCCAUUGGCACCCCCCUUUUGGAUACUGGCAGACAUUGAUGAGGUCCCCUCUCAGCCAUCUAUUCUGGAGGCUAAAUAGACCCAGCUCUCUCAGUUUUUUCUUGUAAGAGGGAUUUCUAGUUCUGUGAUUAACUUUAAAGCUCUCCACUGGACCUAAGAGCUCCAUGUCUCUCUUGUUCUGAGGACAUCAACUUUGUAUUUCAAGUAACACAGCUUCUUAGGCCUUGAGUUAGGGGGAGAAAAUCACUCAGAAAGAUUAUAUAGUCAGAAAACAGUAGAAGUUGGUGUUUGGGCUCUGAAUGGCAGUGAUAGUUUCAACACAGGUGGAGAACAACAAAGCUUCAGAACCAUCCGCUGCAUGAUAAUGUGAACAUGUAGAACUUAGCUUGAAAAACCAAUGUUGUACAAAGUCUCAAUCUAAGUGACAGGUGUUAUGAAAAUCCCUAGUUAUUAUGCCUAAUAAAGUGGUACUCUAAUGCCAAUAAUGCCAUCAGCAAAAUUGCACAUGGUUGGUAAAUGACUGUGUCCUACAAGCAGUUCCCUUGUGUUUGCCUCAGCUGGUCUCUGAGGGAUGAAAUACCUCACUCAAAUUCAUUUCACUGUGGCUUAGUGCCUUCUGGUGUUCCCAUUUCAUACAUCCUAGUUUGAGAUCCUUGCAAAGAAAUAAGGUGUUUUAGAUCACAACUUGCUAGAAGUGCAGUACUGUGAAGUUAAAAGAGUAGUUGGAAAGGUGUAUUUACUAACUGGCGUUGGCUCACUAUAUGAGUUCAGCCCACGUAACUAACUUAAUCUCUGUUUCUCCAUCCAGAGGUAGAGAUAAGACAUUUCAGUCCAAAUAAAGACAGAGAACAUUGCAUUUUUUCUAAAGUCUCUCCGCAGAUGAAGAAAGAACAACAGGGAGGCUGGGAAACUGUUAGCUUUAAUUUUCUUAUGGUCUUUUUAGAUUGCACAUACACGCUGAAGGACAAAAAGUCAGAAAAUUACUAAUUAAAGCUAAUUAAAGCAGAAAAUACAGAUUUCUUAGGCAUUUUCUCCUGCAGAUCAGUAUUGUGCUUCUGGUCCUUGGGACAGAAGGGACCCAAUAAAAGGGAGGUAACUGCACAAUAUUUAUCAUUGUCAGUGUUCUGCAAGGCUGCUAUUACAUAAAACAUUCAGCUCUGGUAACAUUUAACCAUUUAACCUUUCAUUUCAAACUUUGUUCAGUGUGUAACAGUCUUUUAAGUUUUAUAGCAUGAUGAAGAUAUGCUGAAAAGCUGUAGUAAAGGAAAUCUGGAAAAAAUGGCAUAUGAAUGAUCUUACUGCUAGCUCUAAUUUUUAGGAUGUUAGUAUUUAGUCAGUUAUUUGCAAUGAUGAGAACUCUCCUCAGACCAGAUUUUUUGAAAUGAAUAAAAAUCUACUUGAAAUGAAUACUAAUUAAAGGCAUUCUUCAUUAAAGUACUUUGAAAAAAGCACUAGAGCUUCAGAAAGGACAUUUUGAAGCAGCUGUGGAUUAUGUUAAAAAAACAGAUUGCAUUCAAUUUACAAUACUGCUAAAAAGAGGUAGUAUAAACAUUGUCUUGCAAAGUGGAUCAAUUUAACCAUCUUUUAAAAAUACUUGAAAGAUAAGAGAAUUUUAAUAUAUAGGCAUAUUUAAAGAAAUCCUGUGUCAAGUGUUUAUUAAAACUGUAGGUUAUUAACAUGGAAAAAACUUUCGAAAAAUAAUAUAAACAGCUUAAGGAUGAAAAAUUAGUUAUUUUCACAUUCCAACAACAUUUGAAUUACUAAUAUUGCAAGGAAAUGUUUAAACUUCAUUUUAAAAUUAUAUCUUGUUUAGAAAUAAAGAUAAAUUCUUGUUCUUCUUGAGUUUUAUAGUUAUCUCAAUGCCAUAUCUAAAUUUUAGAACUAAUUCAACUUUUGCUGAUCCAUUCCUUUGUUUCACUGAUUUCUUGUUCAUUCUAGACACUUCAAGACAGUAUCAGAAAGAUGAGGUACCAGGUGUCUGAAAACAAAAAGGCAAUUGUGGUGCCCAAAAUAUUUUCUCCCCCAGAAUUACCAGUAUACUUAGAGAUGGCAAUUUCAAGUGGGAAUUUUCAAGUGGGAAAAAGGAACUUGUGUGGCUACAUUUAUGUAAAACCCAUAAAAUUUUUUAUUUUUUGUUUUCUCAGAGGAGUGUGUGCACUUAUCUCUCCAACUGAUGUAAUUUACAUUGCUGCUGUGGAGAAAUUGUGGCUGCAGAUCUAACAAUGAUACAUUUGAGCAAUCUUCCAAAAGUUUUUGAAAGAUUGAAAUUUAUAAACACAUAAUCCAGCUGUAUAGGGUGACAGGUAAAUCUGUUUGACCAGCGUGUGCUGGCCCCAUGAGCUGGAGUGUGUGCUCUGCCUCCACGACCAGGCUUCACACAUGUACAGAUCUCUGAAUUUUGGGAGAAGAAAAAGAAACAGGAGAAGCAGGAGACUACAGAUAGGGAAAUUCUGGCAUGCUCUGUGAGGACACUAUAAUUUCUUUUCCCUUUUCUACUUGCUGCUCUACCAUGCAUGAAGGCUUCAAGCCAUAUAAUAUGAAUUAUUACAUAACCUAUAAAAAGGCUAUAGUAUAUAGUCUGGUUUUGCUAUCAAAACCAAACUAAACCAGCACGCCUCAUUAGUCAAAUGGAGAUACAGAGAUACUGUUCUGAAAAGGAAUUAUAUACACUGCAAUAGUAUUCACUAGGACACAAAACCUAUACAUUUUAUUGCCCUUCCAGGUAACCCUUCAUGUCAUCCUUUUGGAGAGGCUUGUCACUUAAACUGUAGGCUUUUGGGUCAGGGACAGUUAUUUUGGGUGUUGAUUCUCAGAGUGAGGCAUCAGCUGAUGGAGAGAGUGCAAGUUGCUGCUGUGCCCUGUACAUGUGAGAUAACAGUGGUAACAUUCACAGGGGCAACUGAACAAAGAAUUUUGUUGUAUUUGGCCUUUAAAUAUUGACUAAUUGAUUUAGCAUUUGAGAAAUAUUUGGGGCUUGUGGAUUUGUCUUCUGAAACUGUACAUAGCUGCUGUGAGCAGUCUCCAGCUGGAUUCAGAACAUGCUGUUGGCCGCAGUGACCUUCCCUCCUGUUCAUUUUUUGUUACUAAAAAUAGUUGGAAAAAGAAAUUAAUCAGGACUAUCAGGAAUUUGGAUAAUCCAAAUUAUUCAUUUGGAUAAUUCAAUAGUCCAAACUCUGUUAAUGCCUAUGCUAAAAUGUAUCUUUUGUGAAAUGAAACCAUUUUUAUAAGAAGGAAACAAAAUUAUGUUUAAUUAAAAUGCCAGAGGUUUUUACUAUUUAGGUAUUUAUAUAGAUUUAUACACUCAAUUUUCUCUGCUAUUUUAUGAAAUCUUCAUGAUAGAAAUUGUCUUCCAGAUUUAUAAAAUGUUUUAGGAGAAAUAUAAGCUGUGGCUGGUAGAUUGGACUUUUCAGGAACGAAUGGCUGCCCUGCUUGCAAAUUCAAUUGUGGAGCAAAUGACACAGUGGUGUUGCAAAUUUGUAAGUCUGAGGCCAGAUAGUGAUGAAAACCUGCUAAUAUUUGGAUUCAUUGAUAAACAGGGAGCAUUUAUUUGAAAAGCAUGAUGGAUGACCCUUUCUUGAUUGUUAAUCCGUGACAACAUUCUCAGUGAAUAAAAAGUUAAUUCUCACCAAAAGUCUGAACACACAAGCAGCCUUGUCUGUGCUAACUCAGUCCAUGGGGUUACCAAAAGAAGGGGAAGAGUUUUUCAAACAAACUAGAUGAAUUGGCUCUCCAAGUGUCUCCGGUCUUUAAAUCUAUUUUGCCACUUUACAGCAUGCACAACUGGUUAGCUGAUACUGGAUAAUGCCUACCAUUCCACUGAGAAUUCCUGGACGUCUUUCCUCUCUUUUACUCAAUGUAAAGUUUAUAGCUUAAGAUGAUACCAUUUAGUUCAACUCAUUCUAAGCUACAUCAUACUAAGGGAUCCUUGGGUUUUGGAGGUUUUGGGUUGCUUUUGAAGGAGAUCCAAGAAUUAAGGUUUCACAAAAAAUGUCCCUCCCCAAAACUGUAAGUAAGUAAUACUCCAGGAGUAUUACUCUGUAUUUCCUUCUGUAAGCAAAAAGUUUGACAUUUUUCAUUAAUGUCUUUCUGGCCAUGCUUGUGCCACUCAACAGGAUGGGAUGAGGAGAUUACUGAGGAAGGACAAAUAGAGGUAUUUCUCACACCUGCAGCAGUAUGGUUGUCUCAAUGUGUUGCCUAUACCUUAACCAGCCCUUCUGAGGUUGCAGAAAUUCUGUCCUGCAGUAUCCUUUCAGGGUAAAAGUUUUCUAAUUUCUGUCAAAGGUUCAGACUCCUCCAAUGGAUGCUUUUCUGAGAGAAAAAAUAAAAGCCUGCCAAAAUUUUCCAGCUGGCUCUUGUUGUUAACGUAGAGAGGACGCAUGGUGUUUUUCAUAGCUAAUAAAGAUGUUGAUGUCCUACUUUAUAAUGAAGCUUAGUUUUGACUGUGGAAAUGUGACUGAUUUUUCCACAGAUUUAACACUGACAUAGUAACUCAGCAAGAUCUAUGCUCACUAGCUUAGAUCCUAGUAGCUCCUUGUAGCUUACAUACCUAGUAGCUCCUUUAGCUGAAUUAACCCUUACCUUUUCUGUCUCAAUUUUGAAUGUCUGAAGCCAGUCUCCUUGCAAGGGUUGGACACUGAAAAACAUGGCUCAGUCCAUGGGCCCUGCCUCCUCCUGUUCCUGGCUUCAUUUUGGCAUCACUAACCUGUAACUGUGUAACUUGAAUGGGACCUUAAAAUGCCAGCUUUCUGUGUACCCUAUUGCUUUCUGCAAAGUCCUCUGAGCUGCCAGUUGCUCAAGUGUAAUAGUCUGAUUAGCCUGUGGUGUUUAAUCACUUCAUAUUUGCGGAAAAGAAGGGCAGAAAAGCAGGGAGGUGGACAUUUUCUCUGUGUGUCGUGUUUAGGACGGGUGAGGACAAACGCUGGUGCUGGAAUGUCCAAAGUGUGUGUGCUCCCAGCAGAUGGUGCUGCACUGGUGGCCAGGAGCGAGGGAUGUGUCCAGGACUGACAGCUCCUCGUUCAGUACCGUCCCUCCUCCAGCCCUUUGUGAGAUGCAACUCGAGAUGCAAAGUUUAUGGAGCGAAAGGGAUCCAGAGGACGCUGGAAGUCACCACUGUGCAGUGUGGAAGUGGCCUGUUUACCCAUAGAAACUGCAUCAGGAAUUAAUGGACUAAAAGGAAAGUGCCUGGGAUGAGUGACAUUUCUUUCUUCUCCAGCCAUCUAUAAAGAGAACAUGAAAAGUGUCUCUGCCACCCCCACAGUAUCCUACUGCUGUUGAAAUUUUGCAGGUUUGGAGAAGGUGAGUUUUGGAGGUGCUUGCAAACAACAUAGCAAAUGUAUGUGCUUGCACAUAAAUGUCCUAGUUCAGCAACUGAGUAAAUCAUAUGCUGUCAGUGCAGUUCAGGUGGUUUGCUACACUGCAGCACAAGACACAAGAUACUUCUAUGCAGAAAUCCAAUUUAUAUAACUUGUUCCCCCUGAGGGUGAAAGCUACUGAAACAAAAAAAAAAAAAAAUUCUUUCUGUACUGCUUUUUUUAGGUAAUUUCCUGGGAGGAGUGAGAUCUGUAUAUCACAGAGUUUGAACUGCACUGGUACAUAGGAUCAUAGAAUGUUAAGGGCUUGGAAUGGACCUUAAAGGCCAUCUAGUCCCAGUAGCCCUGCCAUAGCCAAUAAACCUUUCUGUCCCACUCCAGCAUGUGUGUUGGAGACACUGGGACAUCACAAGUUAGCUGUGGGAGACAUAAUUUUUAGAUGUAUGUCUAGAAUUUCUUUCUAAACACUGGGUGUAAAAAUCAGUGCAACAAGGAGUGUGUGUCCUACACUAGCUCUGUUCCAUGCUCACUGAAUCUGCUUAAAAAGAGUGGUAGCUUUUUCCAGAGAUGCUAAGCUCUUAUAUACUGCAUCACAAUUUUUUCAGGGCAUCAGCUGAGUAAAGCCUUUUGUUAGCCUUUAUUUAGUAUCAACAAAGAGAGAUAAAAGAAAAGGAUGUCCUGGAGAUUUUCUAGGGCAGACUUUAUCCCUUUUUAUUCCAUCAUGAAACAAAGAGACAUCCCUGAAGGUAUCACACAUUUAUGAUACAGGAAGCACAGAGAUGCUUUGUAGUAAAGCAGCAAGAUGCAAAAAAUGAUGUGCAACCCUAUCAUUAAGAAAUUGCAUACAUGUCAUGUUUGUGAAAUGGUUGUUGCUGACAGGAGUUCGUGGUUAGUACCUGAAGCUGACCACCUUCAGUGUCAAGUAUCUUCAGGGAGUAAAGGAAAAUCAAGUGACUCUCAGCUCUACCUUUUAUUUUUGUGCUUUAAUCCACUUCUAAAUGUAAUGAAAAUAUGGAUUGCUGUGUAGCAAAAAUCUGUAUUUUUAAUUCAAGUUUUAAUUCCAUAAAUGAUCAUGUUCUUCAGUUCAUCCUUGUAUCAGACUUUCGUUAAUAAGUAGUAGGAAAUUAUCUAAGAAACCAUUGCCUGAUACAGAUGACUGUGGCAAGUUAAUUGCUGGUUCAAAAUUCCCUCCUUAUGAUUAAAGUUUCAGAGAGCCUCAUGACACAGUUAUGGGACACUGCUUUUCUUUGAGAUUAGUUGUCUUUCAUUAAAGACUAGUUUUACAGCUUCUGGUAUUGGGUAUUUCAUUUGAAGAAACCUCAUUUUUUUCGAAGCAGAUAAGAGCCAUUCUUCUCUCUUCUGGUGAGACUGAAUUGGAGGGGGGCUUGUGAAGAUGGUAUGAAAAAUCCCAUUUCUGGACGACAGGCAUGAUAGGGAAUGCCAUUCCCACAUUCCACAGACACACAAGGGAAAACAUGCUUUGGCCCCAGACAAUCAAACCUUUAAUUGUAAAGCUAAUGCUGAUUUAUUGCAGACUACAGUGUGAGUUUUUUUUUCCCCUUGGCUCUUACUCAGAAUAGCCAGGUCUCUCCCCUUUCCCUUGUGCCAUUCCCCGUGAAUGGCAUACGCCAUGGACUAAGGUAGCUGCGCUCAUGCCUGGAGCUGCAAAACUUCCCCUUACAGCAGCACAGCAAGCUACCAUUUAUUUUUAAUUGCUCCCUACCGUGUAGGCCAAUUAAGGAUGAAGCCAGCAGGGCAAGGAUCACUGGCAAAGCCUUUGAAGGGAGCAGACCCAGCAUUUGCUUCGCCGGAAGGCUGCCAUUCACACAUUUGUGCAAGAAUGCAAACAAUUGGGCUCACUCAGUGGGAUCAAGUGCUAUCUAGUUCAGUCUGAACCACUUUCUAGUGCAGAUGGCAGUGAGAGUGGCAGCACCACUGAAUAUUAUCCUCGGGGUUAGAAACUUUCCAAAUGAGAUUUCCAUUCGUGACCCUCCCCAUUUCAGCAGGAAGCACCUGCUAAAGCAGCUUUAGGAAAUGCCUCUCAUUAGCAGCUUCUGUUUGAGCUCAGGUUUUCCUAGCCAUGCGAGUUCAGCAGGCUUAAGAACUUGAUCUUUUGAUAAUAUGAAAGCGAAAAUAUUACAGGAUAGUGUGUACAGCCAACAUUUUGGGCUUGUGUUUUCUACCACCGUCGUUAUUACUUUAAAAUCCUUGUUUGACAUAUUUAUUUUUCCUAGCUUUUGAACCUCCUAGAAAAUAGGAUUGCUGGGCAUCCUGAACCACUUGGCCAUUCCCAGGAAAUCCUGGAUGAAGGAUUUGCUGGUUAGAUUUGAAUUAGCAACCCAGUAUUUUUAAUGGUUUGGGGAAAGAAUGAGUCUGCAAAUUUGGUCACAAGUGUUGUGAGCAGUCUGUGCUUUCAAUCUUCUGCAGAAGAGACCCAGGAUUUAUGUUGAGUUUCACACAGUUGGGAAAUAGCUCCAGCAUGCACAAACCCAAAAAUCACUGCAGAAAAGUAGGCAACUCAGUUUUAUCCUGGGAAAAGUUUUCAGGAGGGCUUGCUGUUCCUUACAGUGGACUUUUCCAAGCUGUCAGUUGUGGCUCACAGGUCAGCAAGAUUGUGUUUGCUCAGUGUUAGGGACACACAAAUGCUGGGCUCGGGAAUGAUUUGGCAUCCCUUCAUUAUCUGAAUGCACAACAUGCAGGUAGAUGUUAGUCAAAAUAAGCCCAAAAUCCAAAUCUUUGUCCUUCUGUAAUUGCAUGAGGAACAUGCUUGUGUUCACUGCAUGAGACACCUGCUGGUGUCUCCAUAAGCUGGUUUCCCAGGGAAGCUUUCCAGUUACCCACUGGUUGGGAUGGUGAAAGCAGUGGGUACAGCCAGUGCUUCUGGCUAAUAACAAUGACCUGCCCUGCUGAUUGUCAGCACAUCUCAGUGAUACCAACUCCACAGUUUUCAACCUUUAAAAAAAUGCUUAAUUUGUAAAUGCCUCCAUAUUUUCCAGUGGAGAAGACCCUGCAUGAGAAAUCUUAGAUUAUUGACAACCAGCUUUUUAAGAAUCACUUCAAAUUCUGGCCAAAGCUUAUAUAUAUGCAUACGGGUCUUUUCUAGAUGAAGCUAGCCUUCAAAGUGCUCAUUAAACCUCUUACCUGGGUGAUUGUUUAGUCAUCUAUCUGGGGAAGCCCUGUAAGACUGAAAGGGCUGAUGUCAGGUUUUAAAUGCUAUUCUUUAUACAACAGCAAUGGAAAAUGAUGCAGCUGAACUGAGACUGCAGUUCCAUCAUGAGUAGGCAGGUUUCAUUUCACAUGCAUAUCAUGCAGCCUGGUUUUGCGUGUUGUAGAAAAAAACAGCCACUCCAUUUUGUCUGUAUAUUGGAUUUCCCCACAGAAACUCCUGCAAACAUCUAUGAGGCAGAAGGCCAGUGUGGCUUGGGUUAUUCCCAGCUGCUUCCCACCUCCCCAGGCCCCUGCAGCACAUCGCCCUCCUCCCUUCCCUGAGCUGCUCCUACUGCCAGUGCAGCCCAGACUGCGGAAAAGAGGAGGAAUUUCCUAACACACGCCGAGCCCCAGGAGCAUCGGCCCCCCGGGCUCUCACUGACAUGGCAUUGAUGCUGAAGAUGAGAGGACUGGCACGUCUCUAGGGCUGGAAAAGAAAUGGAGCUUCUGCGAUUACUUGUGUUCUGAUCCUAGUUUCUCUCUCUCUGUGUGACUGCUUUUUAAUAUUUCCCUGCAUGUAGACUUCUGGGGAUACUGCAGCUUUCAGUGCCACAUGAAGUCAUUGUGAGGAUCACUUACUGAUGGCUGUUAAAGCAAGCCAGCUAUUAACAUUGCUAUUUUCCUUUGUGUUGUUACAUUAAAUGUACUUCAGCAGUAAUGUAAGAUUUAAAUUAAAUUUCAAAGUCUUUCAUGACACCAAGAAAGCACUGUUGUUUUACAAAUUGUUCACAUAUCUGAUGGGUGUAACUUCAUCCUAAAUUUAAAAAGCUAUAAUUAUAUACAAAAUAUGUACAAAAUGAAUUGCUGCAUUUAUGCUUUUUUUUCUUUAGAUACCCAUAACAUUACUAUGUUAUAAGGCUGGAAAUUCUCAAACAUUCUUUUCUGUAAAGAAAUCCAGCUUCUUAAACUGUAUAAAUAAUAACUGAAGGAAGAUGUUUUUGUGCUUUACUGAUAAUGGAGUAAUAUGGUGCCUCUGUACACUUUAAUCUUGCAUUUUGUGAUUGUACAGCAUGGUGGUCUAACAGUCUUCAGAUUUCAGAGCCUGGAUUCAGCAGCACAUGCAGAAUUGUUUUCUGCAUGGUAGAGAGUUGUAGAGAGGAAAGAGACAAAGCUGUUCAGUGUUAGACAAGGGUUUAUCACGACCAUUGUCAGUAGUGUAUGUUUUGUAAGUUAGGAUAUGACUGAAUGUCUAUUUAUAUGGCUGUUAUAGAAAUAUAUGUGUGUGUGUGUGUGUGUGUGUUUGCAAUGUGAUUUUUCAAAAGCAAGCUGGAUAUGCACUCCUGUAUGUAGUUAAUAAUUUCGCUAUGAUGCUUAUAUCAUGAAAGCUCAAUAAUUGUGUUACAACCCCCCAGUAUUAUGAUGGUUUGUCUUGUUUUCUCCACAGGUGAUAAAUUCUGUGUUACAUCAGUACAUCAAAACCAAGUUUAUAUACUAAAAUAGGAACCUGCCAUUUCAGAGGAAAAAAACCCCUGUUAGAUAAAAGUAAACUGCUAACUUGUAUUCAUGAGCACCUAUCAGCUUUUAAUAAAAUAGCAUCGAGUUCACACCAAA